rnacentral:rRNA from 1 species
UACGGGGGGAGCAAGCGUUGUUCGGAUUUACUGGGCGUAAAGGGCGCGUAGGCGGUCAGCACAAGUCAGUUGUGAAAUCUCCGGGCUUAACUCGGAAAGGUCAACUGAUACUGUGCGACUAGAGUGCAGAAGGGGCAACUGGAAUUCUCGGUGUAGCGGUGAAAUGUGUAGAGAUCGGGAGGAACACCGGUGGCGAAGGCGGGUCUCUGGGCAAUUGCCUGACGCUGAGGCGCGAAAGCGUGGGGAGCAAACGGG